UCCCAUGCCUCUCUUGCCAGAUCUUCUACCCACAGCAUGCCAACACAAAUCAAUUCUCAUGUUCCAUUUUGAUUAUGAAUCGAAGUUUGUUUUCUGCUACUGGAACAGACCAGAAGACGAGAUCUGCAUUCAUGGCCUUGCCGUGAAUUCUACCGUUGAGAACAUGCUGUGAGGUUAGUAAGAGAGUGCAUGCUAAGUAAUUGCUUCUGUUCCUCAGAGGAAGGCAGUUUCCGUAUUUCUGUUUAUACCUAAUUGAUGGGAGGGGUUUAUAAUUAAUCUACCCUCUGAAGCUCAUUAGCUUUUUAAUAGUGUUAGCUUAACACGAUUGUAGUCUUAACAGCUUUGAUAUUGAUUGAAAUUGCAUAGAAUUUGUACUGUUAACUCUGGCCUUUUUCGUUAGACUCUUAUAUAGUGUAUGCAUGUGAGUAGGGGUAACAAGUUGGGGUACUAAUCGGAUGUUAUCCGUAAACAGGGUCAAAAUUUCAUGUUACAAUCUAAUUACUUUUUCAGUUUAAUUUAAAAUUGGUCAAUUUUAUCUUACCCUUUAUAUCCAAUGUUGCAUUGUUGGGUGGUGCCAGAAAUUGUUAACAGAUACACAGAUCAUCAGAAUUAGAUGAUGACUCGUAACUUGACUCCACAAUUGACUAAAUUUUCUUUUUCUUGUCAUGAUUUUUGAUGUUUAAUAUGAACUAGUUGUAUGUAAUAAUACUUGUUGCUUCUGUGGUUGGAGGUAUAAAGAUUAGUUUCAUUAUCAAGCAAUAGCGUGGAAUAUGGUAUCUGUCGUUGUAUUUGCACAAAUGAAUGAAUACUAUUGAAGAGAAGAAAUGUAAUAACAUGGAGCAACAAAUGGUUAAGAAAUGGAAUCAUAUAAUUUUGUAUCUAAAUUAUAUCUGCAUAAGUUUCCUGAAUGUACAUAUCGAAAAAUUUUUAGCCAAAAAAUGCAAAUGAAUCUCAAAAUUUGGUAUCAUUGCAACUUGAUUUACAGGGUUAGUGAUUGAGGAUAUUGAGAAAGGAAACUCUGGUUUUGAUCAAUCGUCUAGAAAGGCAUUCAAGGCCAUCUUCAAGAUCUUGAAUGCACUGCUCCAAGUUUUUUAGUUGGGCUUGAAUACUUUGAAUGAGCAUGCUGUAACCACAUUUGCUUGUCUUGGGACUGCAGAGAGACUGCAAAGCGCUGUCCAUGUUGGCAAAUUCAUUAUUGUCUGAAAAUUCUUCCUCGGGAGCCACUCUUUUGUGGUGGAUCAGUUUAGAAACUAAUGACCAGCUGCUUGGCUUCGUUUGCAGAUUGGACCCUGAGAUUAGGGACAAUAAGGACUCAAGAGCAGUGGCAGUUACUGCUUCAGCUUCGCGUAACAUGCUUAACAUUGCGGAAGCUUCCUUGUCUAAAUUGAUGGGAGAGGAAGUGCGGCUCUUUUCAAUACCUUUCAAUUUCCUCAGAGCUUUGUGGAUUGCCUUUUUCACCAAUUUUCUGGAAGCUAAGUAUUUCUUAAUCUCAGCUUCACCUCCACAUCUUCGGCGGAAACUUGACUGAAGUUCACGUGUGGAUUCCUUUGUCAGAAGUAAUACAUCUUUAGCGGAGCUGCACACAUCCAAGAGCCGGAGAGAUCCAUCUAGUAGCUCUGCCACACCUUCUUCAUUCAACUCUCGGGUUAAUGUUUGUUGGCAGAGAGGCAAGAGAAGCAGCUUCUCAACACACUCAUACAGAUCUUGAAGGGCACUUAUUUUGCCACAAACUGAUGUUGAUAAUGUUGAUGCAGAUACUGAAGACUUUAUUCUGCACAAUUGGACAUCAACUUGUUGUAGAAAAGGAUGUGUUAUGCAAGGGAAGCUAUGGGACCGAGCAUGGUAGGCAGCCAUUUUUUUUAGAGAAAAGAGAGGGUUAGCAGAUGAAUUCUGAUUUCACUGUAAACAAUUUGCCUUGUGUCUUUUGCUUCCCCUCAUUAUAUAUUGCAGGUCAAUGGAGACAGAAAGAAUCUUUUUUCUUCUUCCUCUUCGUUAUCAAUUAUUAAAAGUGAAGAGUGUUCUGGAUUUAGGUAGUCUGUCAAUAAUGUUUAUGCAUGUCUCCCUCUUACCACAUCUCCAGGUCAGCUUUCCUAAAGAAUAUACAGACGCUUGAGUGGCACUAAGAGAGCCCUAGGACAAGAGACAAUAGCCUUACCAUCUCAUCUUUACUCACUGUAUGUUGUUGCUUUCGAUUUCUUAAAAUAAUUUCAUCUGCCAGUCCAUCUCCACAUGAAAAUGACACCAGUAAUCUCUAUCUAAUUGUACACAACCAUUUCCACCUAAAUGCAUCAAUAAUCCAUGUUAAGGACUGAUUGAAAAAUUUGAUGUUGCAUGUUCCUUAUCUGGCUUCUGCACAAGUAGUAUGCAAGUUAUUCAUAAUCUAAUAUCACCUUUUCUUUUUUUUUUCUUUCAUUGAAAAUGGCUUGAGGCUGAACUAGGCUGGAUAAAUCAGACUGUCUCUCCAAACAGAGAAAGCCAGAAUAUCUUCUUUAGUUUUUGUCAAUAUUUAAUCUUCUGCCUAUAGACAAUUCAGGUCAGUAGCAUGGAGGACGCAAAUAAUAUGCUUUAUAUGUAUCUCUGUAAAGUCAGGUUUUUCCCUCAAUGCGUGCCUGUUGGAUGUGCAUGGAUGCUAACUCCAGUUUAUUAAUAAACAAUUUACUUGAAUUUUCACUUUAAUCAGCAUUUCCUGCAAUAUUUAGAUGAGAUCUGCAUACUCGGCCAUAACAUACCUGACAAAAAUGGAGACAAAUGGUUAGUGAGGACAAUAACUCUGCCAUCCUCUAUAAAAUGUUAGAGUACUUUCACUUUUAUAAAACACAUUUUAGACAUGUUACCAAGUCUUGUGAAAAGAUUAUAGCUAGUGAUAGAAAAGGUAUAUUCAUCUUGUAAUAUCAGGUCUGAGUCUUUCGAGUUCUUGUGCAUCAAUGUGGAUGCUUAUGGAUUUUUAUAUCAAUCAAUUGAUUUUCCUCAAGACAUAUAUGAUGCUCUUAAAAGAAAAAAGGACAAAAAAAUAGUAUGGCUGCAAGAUCUUCUGAGAACCAGUGUUUAACUUUAGUAUGAAUUGAAGAGUACAAAUACUUUUAGUCUAUAUACAGAGCAUCAUGAUUUUUUUUUUUUGGCUAGUGAUUAGCGACAUUGAUAAAGGAGACUCUGGUCCUGAUCAACUUUCUGUAUAUGCACUCAAGUCCUUCUUCAAGAUCUUGAAUGCACAACUCUAAAUUUU
rnacentral:lncRNA from 1 species